GACCUUUGGAAUUGAAGAGUUUGAGAAGCUGAUCAACGGUGGAGUUUGCUUGCGGCAGAUUGGAACCUACUCUGGCCGCCAUUGAUAUCUUCCCGUCCCAUCGUCCCUUCUUCACCUGAAAAAUGACCAGAUUUCUUUGAAUCAAGAGAAGGGCUCUAACCAAAUGGACAAAAUCUCUGGCUGCAAUUGCGAGGAUGUCAGCACAAGACACAACGCCAGGGCACUUGCUCUCAACCAACGCCUUGGCCUUCUUGAUGCUUUCAAACCCCUCCGGUCUCAGCCCCUUGUUGUCCGCUGCAUCCUUCUCCGCUGCCACUUUGCUGCCAGGCUUCGUCGAUAUCAGAAUCGACCCAUCACAGCCCUGCCAUUUUCAAGAGCUUCUCAACAUUUUUCAAACACAACCAGUUUGGUAUAAAAUUUGGCAGCCACUGAAAACAAUGAAAUAAAUUGAAGGCUGAUAAAAGCUGAUAGAGAGAGAGCGUGGUGGACAGAAGGGCGUGUAAUAAGCCAAGCCAAGCCAAGCAUGAGUAAUGAACUUCAUAAAUGCAAGGCAUGUGCUACCACAGGUACUCUCUAGUUGUAGCACAGGGCUAAAUCAGCUGCAGGAGGAUUAUACUAACCUACCGCCAGUGACUUUCUCAAGGCUCCGUAUGAGAAGAAUUAAGGUAUGGGAAAAAUUUGUAAUGAAGCGAAAUCCCUCUUUCUUUAUGGUGUUGGUCGUCCCCUUCUUCAUUCGUCCAUUUAGGUUCUUCAUUCAUCCAUUUAGGUUCUCCAUUUCUUGAUAUAACUGUAACGGUCCAAAUCUACCGCUAGCCGAUAUUGUUCUUUUUGGGCUUUCCCUUUCAGGUUUCCCCUCAAGGCUUUAAAACGCAUUUUCUAGGGGAAGGUUUCCACACCCUUAUAAAUGGUGUUUUGUUCUCCUCCCCAACCAAUGUGGGACAUCACAAUAACUAUUCCAACAAAGUAAUCUUAUGUAGUAUCAGCAAGAGCCCUUUAACCCGACUUCCGCACUAGAACAAACAAAUAAUGUCUCUCUUUUUGAGAGACACCGAAAAAAAGCAAAAGCCAAUAGUGGAACACCUUCAUCGAGAUUAGUUGGACACUAAUUACCAUUUCAAGAGUCAAUAGUCCAAUAUUAUGAUCAAGAGCCCUUUAACCCGGCUUCUGCACUAGAACAAACAAAUAAUGUCUCUCUUUUUUAGAGACACCGAAAAAAAAGCAAAAACCAGUAGUGGAGCACCUUCAUCAAGAUUAGUUAGACACUAAUUAUCAUUUCAAGAAUCGAUAGUUCAAUAUUAUGAUGAUUUUUUUAGGAGAAAAUGGUUUGAAUAGUGAAAUGGUAGCACUUGUAAGUGGCAGACAUAUUCAGCAUCAGCUUUCCAUAGUGGCAACAGAAUUGAGGACAAAAUAUGAAACAAAGAAUCCAGUACUUGCAGAAGGGAUAAAUCCAACAUUUGCAUAUUUCACAAUAGGAUUUAAUCACAUUAUACUAUGAUUAUUCAUUAAACAACAUUAAAUUCUGCUGUUAUGUUUUUUUGUCAGUCUUUGUGUUCUUAGUCUGCAGUCAUUCCACUGAAAACCGUUUGAGUACUUUGAUGCUUCAAAAGUCAGAAUUGCUUAGUUUCAAAGAUUUAAAGUUUGGAAGAACAUGGGGAAGAGUGGCACAGCCGUUCAUGAGAUUCCCCACCCCAAUUAAAAUAUUUCCCAUCAAAGUUAGAGGACUCAGCUUCAUCUACUUCAAUGUAAAGCUACAAAGUAAAAAGUUUGUAGGGUUGUUUCUUGAGGAUAAUAAUUAAUAGAUGUAAUUAGCUAGAUGGGCACUACUUUAUUUUAAGUUGAUCUGCUUGAGAUAUAUAUCAGUUAGGGGUGUACAUUCAA